UUGUAGGGCGACACCGGCGCCACGUGGCCGGCCCCCACCAGCGCGGAGGGCGGCUCCGACUUGCGCCCGGAGGCCCCGGCCUCGGCGCCGCCAUGCGCACCCGGCUCCCCACCGCUGCCUCGGCUCACGGCCGCGGGCUCCGGGCUGGGCUUGGGCUCCUGGUCUUUCUUGUCCAGCUCCCCGCCGGCGCCCCCGCCGCCGGUCUUGCAGUCAGAGUGGUGCGGGGAGCCGCCCCGGGAGCCGCCGGGGGAGGACGAGGACGACGACGCCGAGACCGGCGCUCCAUGCGGGGGAAAGGGCGUGCAGGCGGCGCUAGGGACCCUGAAGCCCGCCUUGUCUCCCGGGGACAAGGAGGAGGAGGAGGAGGUGGAGGACACGGAGGAGGAGCCGCUGUCUUUGCGAGAGUCGCCGCCUCCGGAGCCCUUGGAGUAGGGCUUGAAGCUGGACUUGUCCUCGGCCGGGGAGUCCCCCAGCUGCUUGAGCGCCGCAGACGCGGAGGCGGCGCCCGAGGCCGAGCGGCCAGGGUCCUUCUCCGCUCCCAGCCCGUUGGCCGCCGCUACCGAGUUGAGCUUGGACGAGGGCGGCGGGUCCGGCUUGCCGAUCUGCGAGCAAGUCUGGGCCAGCAACGCCAAAGGACUCUUCUUGGCGUCCAGCUGUGGGAGACAGUGCAGCACGCGGCAUGCGGAACUUCCGGGACCAGAGAUCCAACCCACGGCCCCUGCGGUGGAAGCACCGAGUCUUAACCACCGGACCGCCAGGGAAGUCCCUCCGCGUUUUUUCAUCUAUAAAGUGGAGAUUAUAAUAAGUUAGGAGGGGAGAACAGCAUCGAAUCUUCUGAUUCAUCUGCCCACAGGGCUUAGCAGACUGGCCGACUGGAGGAGAAACACAUACAUGGUCAUAGAAAACUUGGAAAACAGAAACCCACAACGAUGGGAGGAAAAAGCAGCCGUAAUCCGAGAUAACUGCUGUUAACAUACUGAAGUCCCUCGCUGCAUUUUGUCAGACUAUGGGUGUGUAUGUAUGUACGUACGUAAGUAUAAAUGAAAGAGUGAAAAAAGAAAGGAAGGAAAGAAAGAAGGAAGAAAGAAAGAGAGAAAAGGAAGAAAGAAAGGCAGAAAGAAAGAAAGGAGGAAAGAAAGGAAGGAAGAAAGAAAGAAGAGAAAGGAAGGAAGAAAAGAGAGAAUCAAAUAGAAUCAGAGCUUUGCUUUCUGCCCUGGAAGCUGCUCUCUGCCCACAUCUCCUCUCAUGGGAUUCCUGGUAGAGCUCAAAGCCUUCGCAGAAGGCAAGCUGGGAUGGGAUUGGCGCUUAGAUUUGUGAAACCCACAAUGCUGCCUACAGGUGGUAGAAGGAGACGGCCCCAUUCUUCAGACUGAUGUUCCUCUUGCCGUGGGGGUGAUGGACCCCGGACAGGAGGCAGUGGCUACCGAAGCAGGGCCUGACUGUGUCCAGGGGCAAGGCCCCGCGCCCGCCUCUGUUGGCAGGGGAAGGAGGGCCCUUGGGCUUGCAGCUCCCAGCCUGGGCCUCGCCCUCCGUCCGGGCCUGCCCUGGGCUGCUCUCUAUGGCGUGCAAUGUACCUGCUGCCUUUCUAAGACUUGACUCACCUUGUCCAAACAUGGGGAAGCUCAUUACAUAAGGGAAACGGUCUCCAAUUUGCUAGGCGAGAA